rnacentral:rRNA from 1 species
AUUGAACGCUGGCGGCAUGCCUUACACAUGCAAGUCGAACGGUAACGCGGGGCAACCUGGCGACGAGUGGCGAACGGGUGAGUAAUAUAUCGGAACGUGCCCAAUAGUGGGGGAUAGCCCGGCGAAAGCCGGAUUAAUACCGCAUACGACCUGAGGGUGAAAGCGGGGGAUCGCAAGACCUCGCGCUAUUGGAGCGGCCGAUAUCAGAUUAGGUAGUUGGUGGGGUAAAAGCCUACCAAGCCUACGAUCUGUAGCUGGUCUGAGAGGACGACCAGCCACACUGGGACUGAGACACGGCCCAGACUCCUACGGGAGGCAGCAGUGGGGAAUUUUGGACAAUGGGCGCAAGCCUGAUCCAGCCAUGCCGCGUGCGGGAAGAAGGCCUUC